UCAGGAAUCAGACAGGACAGACCAGUAUGAAACGGGCAAACUUUUUACAUAAAAAAGACAAAAAAGCAGAAAUAAUCUAAGACUCUUGAGGUCAGACCCUUUGCCUGCAUAAAUCAAAAGAACUCAUCUUGCUCUAAGGCACCAGCUUAAUUUCACUGGGAGUUUUUCC